CGUGUAGGCGGACAAUCAAGUCCGGUGUGAAAGACCUCGGCUUAACCGAGGGGACGCGCUGGAAACUGGUAGUCUUGAGUACUGGAGGGGAAGCUGGAAUUCCUGGUGUAGGGGUGAAAUCUGUAGAUAUCAGGAAGAACACCGGUGGCGAAGGCGAGCUUCUGGCCAGUAACUGACGCUGAGGCGCGAAAGCGUGGGGAGCGAACA
rnacentral:rRNA from 1 species